GACACACGGCGGGUGCUAACGUCCGUCGUGAAGAGGGAAACAACCCAGACCGCCAGCUAAGGUCCCAAAGUCAUGGUUAAGUGGGAAACGAUGUGGGAAGGCCCAGACAGCCAGGAUGUUGGCUUAGAAGCAGCCAUCAUUUAAAGAAAGCGUAAUAGCUCACUGGUCGAGUCGGCCUGCGCGGAAGAUGUAACGGGGCUAAACCAUGCACCGAAGCUGCGGCAGCGACGCUGAUGCGUUGUUGGGUAGGGGAGCGUUCUGUAAGCCUGCGAAGGUGACCUGUGAGGGUUGCUGGAGGUAUCAGAAGUGCGAAUGCUGACAUAAGUAACGAUAAAGCGGGUGAAAAGCCCGCUCGCCGGAAGACCAAGGGUUCCUGUCCAACGUUAAUCGGGGCAGGGUGAGUCGACCCCUAAGGCGAGGCCGAAAGGCGUAGUCGAUGGGAAACGGGUUAAUAUUCCCGUACUUGGUGUUACUGCGAAGGGGGGACGGAGAAGGCUAUGUUGGCCGGGCGACGGUUGUCCCGGUUUAAGCGUGUAGGUGUGUGUUCCAGGUAAAUCCGGUUCACUUUAACACUGAGGCGUGACGACGAGGCACUACGGUGCUGAAGCAACAAAUGCCCUGCUUCCAGGAAAAGCCUCUAAGCAUCAGGUAACACGAAAUCGUACCCCAAACCGACACAGGUGGUCAGGUAGAGAAUACCAAGGCGCUUGAGAGAACUCGGGUGAAGGAACUAGGCAAAAUGGUGCCGUAACUUCGGGAGAAGGCACGCUGACACGUAGGUGAAGUGAUUUACUCAUGGAGCUGAAGUCAGUCGAAGAUACCAGCUGGCUGCAACUGUUUAUUAAAAACACAGCACUGUGCAAACACGAAAGUGGACGUAUACGGUGUGACGCCUGCCCGGUGCCGGAAGGUUAAUUGAUGGGGUCAGCGCAAGCGAAGCUCCUGAUCGAAGCCCCGGUAAACGGCGGCCGUAACUAUAACGGUCCUAAGGUAGCGAAAUUCCUUGUCGGGUAAGUUCCGACCUGCACGAAUGGCGUAAUGA
rnacentral:rRNA from 1 species